rnacentral:rRNA from 1 species
AACCAGCACCUCAAGUGGUCAGGAGGAUUAUUGGGCCUAAAGCAUCCGUAGCCGGCUCUGUAAGUUUUCGGUUAAAUCCAUGUGCUCAACGCAUGGGCUGCCGAAAAUACUGCAUAGCUAGGGAGUGGGAGAGGUAGACGGUACUCGGUAGGAAGGGGUAAAAUCCUUUGAUCUAUCGAUGACCACCUGUGGCGAAGGCGGCUAGCUGGGCCGGAUCUGACGCUCAUCCGCGAAAGCGUGGGGAGCAAACAGG